GCAGGGUGAGUCGACCCCUAAGGCGAGGCCGAAAGGCGUAGUCGAUGGGAAACAGGUUAAUAUUCCUGUACUCGGUGUUACUGCGAAGGGGGGACGGAGAAGGCUAGGCUAUCCGGGCGACGGUUGUCCCGGUUUAAGCGUGUAGGGGGAAAGCAUUGGUAAAUCCGUGCUUUUAUUAACCCUGAGGCGUGAUGACGAGUCACUACGGUGAUGAAGUAGUUGAUGCCAAGCUUCCAGGAAAAGCCUCUAAGCAUCAGGUAACAUCAAAUCGUACCCCAAACCGACACAGGUGGUCAGGUAGAGAAUACCAAGGCGCUUGAGAGAACUCGGGUGAAGGAACUAGGCAAAAUGGUGCCGUAACUUCGGGAGAAGGCACGCUGGCGCGUAGGUGAAGUCCCUUGCGGAUGGAGCUGAAGCCAGUCGAAGAUACCAGCUGGCUGCAACUGUUUAAUAAAAACACAGCACUGUGCAAACACGAAAGUGGACGUAUACGGUGUGACGCCUGCCCGGUGCUGGAAGGUUAAUUGAUGGGGUCAGCCGCAAGGCGAAGCUCUUGAUCGAAGCCCCAGUAAACGGCGGCCGUAACUAUAACGGUCCUAAGGUAGCGAAAUUCCUUGUCGGGUAAGUUCCGACCUGCACGAAUGGCGUAAUGAUGGCCAGGCUGUCUCCACCCGAGACUCAGUGAAAUUGAACUCGCUGUGAAGAUGCAGUGUACCCGCGGCAAGACGGAAAGACCCCGUGAACCUUUACUAUAGCUUGACACUGAACAUUGAGCCUUGAUGUGUAGGAUAGGUGGGAGGCUUUGAAGCGUGGACGCCAGUCUGCGUGGAGCCAACCUUGAAAUACCACCCUUUAAUGUUUGAUGUUCUAACUCCGGUCCCUAAUCGGGAUUGAGGACAGUGUCUGGUGGGUAGUUUGACUGGGGCGGUCUCCUCCUAAAGAGUAACGGAGGAGCACGAAGGUUAGCUAAUCACGGUCGGACAUCGUGAGGUUAGUGCAAUGGCAUAAGCCAGCUUGACUGCGAGCGUGACGGCGCGAGCAGGUGCGAAAGCAGGUCAUAGUGAUCCGGUGGUUCUGAAUGGAAGGGCCAUCGCUCAACGGAUAAAAGGUACUCCGGGGAUAACAGGCUGAUACCGCCCAAGAGUUCAUAUCGACGGCGGUGUUUGGCACCUCGAUGUCGGCUCAUCACAUCCUGGGGCUGAAGUAGGUCCCAAGGGUAUGGCUGUUCGCCAUUUAAAGUGGUACGCGAGCUGGGUUUAGAACGUCGUGAGACAGUUCGGUCCCUAUCUGCCGUGGGCGUUGGAGAAUUGAUUGGGGCUGCU
rnacentral:rRNA from 1 species